GAGAGUGGAAGGAAGACCCCCGUGAUUAAUUUCAUGAGGAAAGUCCUCCCACCUCCGGGCAAAAGAAAAUCGAAAGGAUUUAGGUUGAGAAACCUGGCAAUGGCACAGAAACGACACGGCCUAUUCUGAGCUAUGAAACAAAUCAAAUUGUCGAGCUACGAAGAAUAGGAAACGUUGAAACGGCGAAACCUCUUUGGUGAAAGUCCAAACUGGGUUACGAGUAACCCGGCUUUAUCCCAGGUAGGACGCUAAGAUGAAUGUCUUCUCGAACAAAAGGAGGCUUACUCUCCACACUC
rnacentral:RNase_P_RNA from 1 species